GAUAUCUCAGUUGGUAGAGUAUGAGACUCUUGAUCUCAAUAUCGUGAAUUUGAGACCCACGUUGGGCCA